GUGAGCGUGCGUUCGGUGCCUGAAAUUGACUUUUAAUCAGUAGGUCAUGGGUUCGAAUCCCAUCGCGCUCACCA
rnacentral:tRNA from 1 species